CUCCGGUUGAUCCUGCCGGACCCGACUGCUAUCGGAUUGAGAUUUAGCCAUGCGAGUCGAACGUUCCCCUGUUGCGGGGAGCGUGGCGUACGGCUCAGUAACACGUAGUCAACCUGCCCUGGAGACAAGGACAACCCCGGGAAACUGGGAUUAAUCCUUGAUAGGUCAUCUCAUCUGGAAGGAGAGAUGGCUUAAAGGGGUACGCGGGCUUCUUCCGCGAAUUCGCUCCAGGAUGGGACUGCGUCCGAUCAGGCUGUUGGCGGGGUAAUGGCCCACCAAACCUGUAACCGGUACGGGCCUUGAGAGAGGUGGCCCGGAGAUGGACACUGAGAGAAGGGUCCAGGUCCUACGGGGCGCAGCAGGCGCGAAACCUUCGCAAUGCGCGAAAGCGUGACGAGGUUAAUCCGAGUGACUCCCGCUGAGGGGGUCUUUUGUCAGCUGUAAAUAGGCAGGCGAAUAAGGGGAGGGCAAGCCUGGUGUCAGCCGCCGCGGUAAUACCAGCUCCUCGAGUGGUCGGGGCGAUUAUUGGGCCUAAAGCAUCCGUAGCCGGUUCCGUAGGUCCUCUGUUAAAUCCAACCGCUCAACGGUUGACCUGCAGAGGAUACCGCGGGACUAGGAGGCGGGAGAGGCGGACGGUACUCCGCGUGUAGGGGUAAAAUCCUUUGAUCCGCGGAAGACCACCAGUGGCGAAGGCGGUCCGCCAGAACGCGCUCGACGGUGAGGGAUGAAAGCUGGGGGAGCGAACCGGAUUAGAUACCCGGGUAGUCCCAGCCGUAAACGAUGCUAGCUAGAUGAUUCAUUCGCAAGUCGCGAAUGAAGUGUCGCAGGGAAGCCGUUAAGCUAGCCGCCUGGGGAGUACGGUCGCAAGACUGAAACUUAAAGGAAUUGGCGGGGGGCACA
rnacentral:rRNA from 1 species